GCAGACUGGAUCGCGUAUGUGGAACAUCCAGCACUCUGCCACAGCACUCACGUCGGAGGCAAAGAGAAAGAAGGCGGUCCGAGAGACGCCUCCUUACCCAGGACACCAAGGCUCUACAAAGUCUGAAGUGAAGAGAUUACUGCCCCAUUUUCCAGAUGAGCACACUGAGGCUCUGCAAGGGUAGACUCUUGCCCAAGGUCCAGGAAGGUCACCCCAGCUAAGCCUCUAUAUUUUCCUCACUGGUUGCUGGUUUGCACUGGGGUCCUUGAAGGUCUGACUGGCAGAGGUCUGUCUUGGGAGGCAGGUGUACCUGGAGGGCAGCAGAAACAGAGAAGCCCACGAGGCCGGCGCUAAGGUGGGCCUUGCUCAGCACAGCACACAUGGCGGCUGCCAACACCAGCACGUUCCCCAGGAGCUCCAGGUUGGUAGCCAGCCACCUGCAAGGAGACGCAGCUAAUUUCAGUUGGUCUCCAGCUCUGGCAACUGAAAGAGUCAAGCCUAAUACAACACUUGGAGACCUUGCAAUGCCUCCUUGGUUUCUAGAUAGUUGGACAACGGGAAGCUGAUUUCAGCAGCAGCAGGACAAAAUGGGUUCUUCCACUGUGCAGAGCCUCUUACGCUGAAUCCUGUCCAGAGACAAGAGACUGGCUGAGGUGACCCGAGCUGGCCCCAGGGGCCUCCCCAGUCUCUCCGUACCUGAAAC